rnacentral:snRNA from 1 species
AUAAGAACCUGGCGCCGGGUUCAGGGUGAUGAAGAAUGCUCUGAUCCCUGGUGGAGGCUAACCAUUGCACCUCGAUUGGUUGAAGCUCCCGUCGGACCCUAAUCGGGUGCGCUCAGGCGUGUAGUUUUUGUCAGUGGGGAGGCCUCACGGUCCUCCCUU